rnacentral:rRNA from 1 species
GAUGAACGCUGGCGGCGUGCCUAAUACAUGCAAGUCGAGCGAACAGACGAGGAGCUUGCUCCUCUGACGUUAGCGGCGGACGGGUGAGUAACACGUGGAUAACCUACCUAUAAGACUGGGAUAACUUCGGGAAACCGGAGCUAAUAGCGGAUAAUAUAUUGAACCGCAUGGUUCAAUAGUGUAAGACGGUUUUGCUGUCACUUAUAGAUGGAUCCGCGCCGCAUUAGCUAGUUGGUAAGGUAACGGCUUACCAAGGCAACGAUGCGUAGCCGACCUGAGAGGGUGAUCGGCCACACUGGAACUGAGAAAAGGUCCAGACUCCUACGGGAGGCAGCAGUAGGGAAUCUUCCGCAAUGGGCGAAAGCUUGACGGAGCAACGCCGCGUGAGUGAUGAAGGUCUUCGGAUCGUAAAACUCUGUUAUUAGGGAAGAACAAAUGUGUAAGUAACUAUGCACGUCUUGACGGUACCUAAUCAGAAAGCCACGGCUAACUACGUG